UAUCUAUUAUUCUACAGUGAUUCAGUUAUCCUUCUUUAUGGCUGAGUAGUACUCCUUUAUGUUUAUACACCGCAUUUCUUUAUCCACUCAUCUGUUGCUGGGCAAACAGACUACUCCUGUACUCCCGCUAUUGUGAGCUGUGCUGCAUACACACGGCUAUGGGUGUACCACUGCAGUACAGUGACUUUAACUCUCUUGGGAGGACACCAGGAGAGGCAAAACUGGGUCAAGUGGAAUUUCUGUCUUUAGUUCUCUGAGGAAACUCCACACUGAUUUCCAUGGCGGCUGUACCAGUUUACAUUCGAAGGGGACACAUCUUACUGAAAUGAAACAAGAAAGAAAUGGAGCCAUCUGCAUGCAGCCUGCGGCCCUGUGUCCCAGAGGAUGGGAAAGGUCAUUCUGGCCCUCGGCUCCUCGCACAAACUGGCAGCAAGUCUUCCCGAGGAAUCUGGCGGAGAAGCCUCGAGUUGUGAUCAACGCCUUCUCAUCUUCUGUGAGCCACUGCUGACUGUUUACCGUGACAGCUUUGUCCCAGGGUAGCAAGCUCCCGAGUCCAGCUUUACUCAUCUGUAAAACGAUGCAAAUGGCAUCUCCUUUAAAAGUAGUGUGAAGACCGCAUGAAGCAAUGUGGGUGAAAUGGUUAACAAUGGGCUUGGAAUGCCAUCAUUGUUCAGUGAAUAGAAAUAAUAAUUCCUAUGAUUAUUUUAUUAGCUAAUAUCACAGUACCAAAACACUGAGCCAAGGAAUGGGCUUAGUUGGUGAUCCCAAAUGAUUUGCUUCUAAUCUUUUGACCCUUAUUGUUUAGGUAGGUGUAAUAGUACUUUACCAAUAGACUACCCACAGCUUAUUCUGUAAGUAUAUAGAAUUAUGAAUAUUAUUAUUUUAUAGAAGACAUUUAAAUGUAAGAAAUGGAAAAGAAAUAAAAAUGUACCAUCAUACCUCUAUUUCUAUUCCUAAUUAGUGUAAGGGAAAAGCAAAAUAUCCUAUCAGCUGACCCCUCCCCAUCCAGUGCGGACAGAGCUCUUCACGUCAGCUGAAUGGCGGAGUCUUAAGUCAGACUUGGAUAUUUUUUUUAAAAAAAAGCCUUAAAUUGCAUUUUAUUUAAGUGCCUAUUGAUAAUAUAAUAAAGGUGGAUGGUUAUUUUUAAAUACCUACUAUGCACCAUGCAUAAUCGAGCAGUAAACGUUAGCUGGGGGGCACUGGGACCUUGACUUGUACCUCUUGUGAUAAUUUACAGUGACAUUGACCUCAUAAUGUAUGUGUUUCCGCCGAGUCAUCUAUUAAAAGAC
rnacentral:lncRNA from 1 species